rnacentral:rRNA from 1 species
GUGCUUAACACAUGCAAGUCGAGCGGAAAGCCCUUCGGGGUACUCGAGCGGCGAACGGGUAAGUAACACGUGAGCAACCUGCCCUAGGCUUUGGGAUAACCCCGGGAAACCGGGGCUAAUACCGAAUAGAACGGUGGGCCGCAUGGUUGGUGGUGGAAAGUUUUUCGGCCUGGGAUGGGCUCACGGCCUAUCAGCUUGUUGGUGGGGUGAUGGCCUACCAAGGCGACGACGGGUAGCCGGCCUGAGAGGGCGACCGGCCACACUGGGACUGAGACACGGCCCAGACUCCUACGGGAGGCAGCAGUGGGGAAUAUUGCACAAUGGGCGGAAGCCUGAUGCAGCGACGCCGCGUGAGGGAUGACGGCCUUCGGGUUGUAAACCUCUUUCAGCAGGGACGAAGCGUAAGUGACGGUACCUGCAGAAGAAGCGCCGGCGUACUACAA